GCCAUGACAAGCACUUUGACCUGUGGAUACUCCCUCUCAUGUCUAAUUGUAAUUAUGACAUCAUGAUUUUGAAAUAAGGCUAUUGUUUGGGGGUAAUCCCUAUGCUACUUCAGGUAUUUAAACAUUGGGUAUAUUUAUGUAUGCUAUACAUGAUUAAGGCUGUGUGGCCGAAACGUUAUAUGCUUUUUUUGUCCUUAGUAUUUAAUAAACCUUACUUAUUUUUUUCACACUACUCUGUAAUGCCUAUGGAAUAUUUUAUUUUGUAAUCACUGGUGGGGCCAGCUGACUCACCACCAUUUUGGAGUCCAGCUAGGGACUAGAGCCAGCAGAGGUCGCAAUGUGGUAGGAAACGCUGGCACUGUUGCCCAGGAUAUAGUUAUAUUGUGCACACGAUUCAGUAGAUUCUGUCCACAAAUUAGUUAAAGCUGGCAUACACAUUAAUUAUCUUGUGGGCAUGCAGUCUACUAAAUUGUGCACACAAGGUAAUAUAAUGUGCACAUGAUUUACAAACACAUUUCACCUCUAAGACUCCAUAGGAAAGAAAAAGUACUAUGAUAAAUUCAUGGUACUGAAUAUUUAUGUGCAGCUAAUUCUGUUAGUGAAUUAGAUACAUUGACAGACACAACAUUAAA